CUUGGUCAUUUAGAGGAAGUAAAAGUCGUAACAAGGUUUCCGUAGGUGAACCUGCGGAAGGAUCAUUCACAAUGAGUGUUUUAUGGCACUCUUUAAAAAUCCAUAUCCACCUUGUGUGCAAUGUUUGUUGGGAGAGAGGCAACUCUUUCCCUUCACAAAUAUCAACCUAUAUCUUUAACAACAUUCGUCUGAUAACAUAUUAUGAGUAUACUUAAUUCAAAAUAUAACUUUCAACAACGGAUCUCUUGGCUCUCGCAUCGAUGAAGAACGCAGCGAAAUGCGAUACGUAAUGUGAAUUGCAGAAUUCAGUGAAUCAUCGAAUCUUUGAACGCAUAUUGCGCUCUUUGGUAUUCCGAAGAGCAUGCUUGUUUGAGUAUCAGUAAACACCUCAGCCUCCUCUUGAUUUUUCAAAAGGAGGGUGGACUUGAGCUAUCCCAACAACCUUCACCGGUAGGCGGGCGGCUUGAAAUGCAGGUGCAGCUGGACUUUUAUCUGAGCUAAAAGCAUAUCUAUUUAGUCCUCGUCAAACAGGAUUAUUACUAUUGCUGCAGCUAACAUAAAGGAUAAUUGUCCUCAUUGCUGACUGAUGCAGGAUUUUACGACACUUUAUGUGUUGUUCAACUCGAUCUCAAAUCAAGUAAGACUACCCGCUGAACUUAAGCAUAUCAAUAAGCGGAGGA
rnacentral:rRNA from 1 species